AGUGAACGCUGGCGGCGUGCUUAACACAUGCAAGUCGAACGAGAACGGAUUAUAGCUUGCUAUAAUUGUCAGCUAAGUGGCGCACGGGUGAGUAAUGUAUAGGUAAUAUGCCUCUUACUAAGGGAUAACAAAUGGAAACGUUUGCUAAUACCUUAUACUCCUUAUUAACAGAAGUUAAUAAGGGAAAGAUUUAUUGGUAAGAGAUUAGCCUAUAUUGUAUCAGUUAGUUGGUGGGGUAAUGGCUUACCAAGACUAUGACACAUAACUGGUUUGAGAGGAUGAUCAGUCACACUGGAACUGAGACACGGUCCAGACUCCUACGGGAGGCAGCAGUGGGGAAUAUUGCACAAUGGACGGAAGUCUGAUGCAGCAACGCCGCGUGGAGGAUGACACAUUUCGGUGCGUAAACUCCUUUUAUGUGGGAAGAUAAUGACGGUAUUAUAUGAAUAAGCACCGGCUAACUCCGUGCCAGCCGCCGCCGUAAUAC
rnacentral:rRNA from 1 species